rnacentral:rRNA from 1 species
AUUGAACGCUGGCGGCAUGCCUUACACAUGCAAGUCGAACGGCAGCGCGGGAGCAAUCCUGGCGGCGAGUGGCGAACGGGUGAGUAAUACAUCGGAACGUGCCCAAUCGUGGGGGAUAACGCAGCGAAAGCUGUGCUAAUACCGCAUACGAUCUACGGAUGAAAGCAGGGGAUCGCAAGACCUUGCGCGAAUGGAGCGGCCGAUGGCAGAUUAGGUAGUUGGUGAGGUAAAGGCUCACCAAGCCGUCGAUCUGUAGCUGGUCUGAGAGGACGACCAGCCACACUGGGACUGAGACACGGCCCAGACUCCUACGGGAGGCAGCAGUGGGGAAUUUUGGACAAUGGGCGAAAGCCUGAUCCAGCCAUGCCGCGUGCAGGAUGAAGGCCUUCGGGUUGUAAACUGCUUUUGUACGGAACGAAACGGUCUUUUCUAAUAAAGAAGGCUAAUGACGGUACCGUAAGAAUAAGCACCGGCUAACUACGUG